AAAGUCGUAACAAGGUCUCCGUUGGUGAACCAGCGGAGGGAUCAUUACCGAGUUGCAAAACUCCCAAACCCAACCGUCUAUCUAUACCGAAAAAUCGUUUGCUUCGGCGGGCGGCCCCAGGGCGGGGCCGACGCCUGCGUUCAGUGCGCGGCGCCCGCCGGAGGAGACUACCCAAACUCUUGUUAUUUUAGUGUAACUCUGAGCCUAAAGACAAUAGUCAAAACUUUCAACAACGGAUCUCUUGGUUCUG
rnacentral:misc_RNA from 1 species